rnacentral:snoRNA from 1 species
GUGGUUUAUGAUGACAGUUUUUUUCCCCGUCUUAUCGACUUUGGUGAGAAAACUACAAACUAAGCCAGUUUAUUCUGAAACCAC